rnacentral:lncRNA from 1 species
AAAUCUUAACCUUUAAUCCUCCUCACCCUCAGGACGGACAACCUCCUAGGUUCCUUAGAUCCUAUCAACUCGUCAAACAAUACCACAGCUGUCACUCCAGCAGCAGCAAACUUUGAACAGAUCAUUGACUUGGGUCAGACCAAGCUUAGUAAUGAGGAUGCAGUUAACAGCAACCCUCCUUCACCAUUUAUAGCAUUUGAGCAGAAUUUGAACAAGAAGCAGAGUCAGGAUAAUACAAGCACAGUUCCAGAUCUGUUGCUGUAAAAUCUGCAGUUUUGUUCAUAUUCUUGUAUGCUGCCUGAGUGUGAUUAUGAGAAACUCCAAAUGUGAUAGUAGCACUGGACCUUUGAAACUCAGCCUUGUGUGGUUGAGAAAUUGGAAGGCCUCCCUCCAUCACCCAACUCACAAAAGGGGUUAAGGGUUCAGUUCCCAAUGCCUCAGCCUCUCGUAGUGUGGCUUUUGUGCGAGUGUGAUACAGAGGAUCUGUUUAACGUUUCAUUAUCACUUGGCCUUUCCCCAGUCAAAAAGGAAAAUUAGUUGCCUUAAUUGGUUUUUAUAGUGCCAGCAUUUGUGACUUGCUGAAAUAUAAUGUAAUACAGUGUGUACAUGCAAGUACAAAUGCUGAUAAAAUGCUGGUUAUAAUCCUCAUGUAAUGUAUCAAUAGUCUUCUCAGAGAUCUGUCUUUCCAAAGGUUAGUAUCCUGUAGUAUGAGCCAAAAGAAUUGCUUUACAGAUUUAACAGGCAAGAAGAAUAUUAUGACUGUGUUAUAGCAGUGUGUUCUGCUCUCCAAAAUAGAUAUUAUCCAUAUUCUUAAUAAUUCUAUGACAGUAGAUUGAAUGCAAAAUGUGCUAGUUAUACUUGUGCUAAAAUAUAUACAGAAUAAUUGACAGUUGUGUAAUAUUAACAGUGAAAGAAAUAUGUAUAAUAUAUAUAAAUAUAUAUCACCUCCAUGUUUUAAUGUUAUAAAGUUGUCCUUACAUGGAUUAAAUUGAGCAAGACCAGUGUUUUAUAAAGAAAAAAAGAAUCUGUCAUAUACUGAAUGGGUGCUAGUUGGUGUAGCAGGCUUGCCAUGAAUAAUAAUGAAAGAGAAAAUUAUAUACGUACAGGUCCCUACAAUCUGAAAUAAAUAUAAAAGGCUGCGGUGCAUGAUAAUUGACCAACUUCAAUCAGUAGUCAUAUUGAGAAUGACCUGUUAUUUUAGGCUCAGAUGAUAUUUUGGGUGACCUUGGGGGAAAACAUUGUUUAUCUGUAAGGGUUAUGAACCAGUCCAUACAUAAUAUACAUGUAUUGAAUUUGGUCUUUUUUUAAGUUUUAUGAGUACAGUAUCUUUUGAUUGUGGUAAAGAUAACUUUUUGGGCUUGGUGAUAACUGACAGGUUAUGCUAAAUGACCAUUCACUAAUAAAACCAUGUUCUCCACUACAUAGGCAAUCCCCGCUUGGGAAUUCAGCUUCAUGGCUGCUACUCACAAGUUAUAGUGAAAUUGUAUUUUAGACUUGUUGAUAACCACUAAUAGUACUAUAUUCACCAGCUCUACUCCAUUCUACAUUUCUAUCUGUAACAAUGUGUUUCUCCAUCAUUUGCUUUGACAGAUACUAUGUAUAAAGUCAUUAUCUUGUAUUUUUAGGUAUUAGGAAUUGCUGUAUGAAGUCAUGUUUUCCCAUCUGAGUAAUUUUAUUUAUGUAGAUUAAGGUUUUUAUAUUUGAGUUGCAUUUACCCACGGUGCACCAAACUUUAAACAAAAAAUUAUAAAAACUAUAAAAGUUGGCCCACUUGCCUUUGUUAUAGUCUCAUUUAUAUUUUAUUAAAUGCUCAAAGAUAUCUUUCCCAUUUGCUUUUAUGUCUUAUUCAGUUUCAUGUCUAAUGGAUGUAAUUCACAGAUACAAGAUGGUUACAGUUUCAAAAAGAAAAUGAAAUCAAUAUUAGUGGCUUUCUGCCACGUCUAACCAUGUUUCUUAUGCCAUUAUAAAUAACCCAAUCCUGUACACUAAAAUUCCUUGUAUUUGUAAAAGUGCUAUAUGUGGUAUAAAAAUCUACCAGUUAAUAAA